rnacentral:rRNA from 1 species
GACGGCGGGUACUAUAAUGCAAGUCGAGCGAAUGGAUUAAGACUUUGCUCUUAUGAUUUAGCCGCGGACGGGUGAGUAACACGUGGGUAACCUGCCCAUAACAGUGGUAUAACUCCGGGAAACCGGGGCUAAUACCGGAUAAGUUUUGAACCGCGUGGUUCGAAAUUGAAAGGCGGCUUCCGCUGUCACUUAUGGAUGGACCCGCGUCACAUUAUCUAGUUGGAGAGGUAACGGCUCACCAGGGCAACGAUGCAUACCCGACCUGAGAGGGUGAUCGGCCACACUGGGACUGACACACGGCCCACACUCCUACGGGAGGCAGCAGUAGGGAAUCUUCCGCUGUGCACGAAAGUCUGACAGAGCCACCCCGCGUGAGUGAUGAAGGCUUUCAGGUCGUAAAACUCUGUUGUUAGGGAAGAACAAGUGCUAGUUGAAUAAGCUGGCACCUUGACGGUACCUAACCAGAAAGCCACGGCUAACUACGUGCCAACACCCGCGGUAAUACGUAUGUGGCAAGCGUUCUCCAGAAUUAUUGGGCGUAAAGCGCGCGCAGGUGGUUUCUUAAGUCUGAUGUGAAACCCCACGGC